AGCAGCCGCGGUAAUUCCAGCUCCAAUAGCGUAUAUUAAAGUUGUUGCAGUUAAAAAGCUCGUAGUUGAAUUUCGGGAUCAAUACGUCGGUCGUGCUUUCGGGUACGUACUGGCGUCAUUGGUUUCUCCUUUCUGACGAACCAUGAUGUCAUUAAUUUGGUGUUAUGGGGAGUUAGGACUGUUACUUUGAAAAAAUUAGAGUGUUUAAAGCAGGCAUUAGCUUGAAUACAUUAGCAUGGAAUAAUGAAAUAGGACGUUCGAUCCUAUUUUGUUGGUUUCUAGGAUCAACGUAAUGAUUAAUAGGGAUAGUUGGGGGCAUUAGUAUUCAAUUGUCAGAGGUGAAAUUCUUGGAUUUAUUGAAGACUAACUACUGCGAAAGCAUUUGCCAAGGAUGUUUUCAUUAAUCAAGACGAAAGUUAGGGGAUCGAAGACGAUCAGAUACCGUCGUAGUCUUAACCAUAAACUAUGCCGACUAGGGAUCGGAUGAUGUUAAUUUUUAAUGACUCAUUCGGCGCCUUAC
rnacentral:rRNA from 1 species